UACGGGGGGAGCAAGCGUUGUUCGGAUUUACUGGGCGUAAAGAGCGCGCAGGCGGUCGUUCAAGUCGCGUGUGAAAGCCCCCGGCUCAACUGGGGAGGGUCACGCGAUACUGAUCGACUCGAAGGCAGGAGAGGGAAGUGGAAUUCCCGGUGUAGUGGUGAAAUGCGUAGAUAUCGGGAGGAACACCAGUGGCGAAGGCGACUUCCUGGCCUGUUCUUGACGCUGAGGCGCGAAAGCUAAGGGGAGCAAACGGGG
rnacentral:rRNA from 1 species